rnacentral:rRNA from 1 species
CAGUCGCCGCGGGAACACGUAGGUCCCGAGCGUUGUCUGGAUUUAUUGGGCGUAAAGGGAGCGCAGGCGGUUUAGUAAGUCUGAUGUGAAAGCCCACGGCUCAACCGUGGAGGGUCAUUGGAAACUGUUAAACUUGAGUGCAGGAGAGAAAAGUGGAAUUCCUAGUGUAGCGGUGAAAUGCGUAGAGAUUAGGAGGAACACCAGUGGCGAAGGCGGCUUUUUGGCCUGUAACUGACACUGAGGCGCGAAAGCGUGGGGAGCAAACAGGAUUAGAGACCCGAGUAGUCCCUGUCUCUUAUAC